AAAAAUGUAGUGUAAUGGUUAGCACCCAGGAUUCGGAUUCCUGUGAUCCGAGUUUGACCCUCGGCGUGACCUUUUUUA